AUUGAACGCUGGCGGCAGGCCUAACACAUGCAAGUCGAGCGGAAGGAGGGAGCUUGCUCCUGGAUUCAGCGGCGGACGGGCGAGUAAUGCCUAGGAAUCUGCCUGGUAGUGGGGGAGAACGGCCGGACACGGGCGCUAAUACCGCAUUAGUCCAGAGGGAGAAAGGGGGAGAUCUUCGGACCUCACGCUAUCGGGUGAGCCUAGGUCGGAUUAGCUAGUUGGCGGGGUAAAGGCCUACCAAGGCGACGAUCCGUAACUGGUCUGAGAGGAUGAUCAGUCACACUGGAACUGAGACACGGUCCAGACUCCUACGGGAGGCAGCAGUGGGGAAUAUUGGACAAUGGGCGAAAGCCUGAUCCAGCCAUGCCGCGUGUGUGAAGAAGGCCUUCGGAUUGUAAAGCCCUUUUGGUUGGGAGGAAGGGCAGUAAGUUAAUACCUUGCUGUUUUGACGUUACCAAAAGAAUAAGCACCGGCUAACUUCGUG
rnacentral:rRNA from 1 species